GCAAGUCGAGCGAAGUUUUUCUUGGUAGCUUGACACCGGAAAAAGUUAAGUACGGCGAACGGGUAGAGUAACACGUAAGAACCUGCUCAUAGACUGGGACAACUAUUGGAAACGAUAGCUAAUACCGGAUACAGCAUUAACUGCAUGGUUGUAUGUUUAAAAGUUGGUUUUGCUAACACUAUGAGAUGGCUUUGCGGUGCAUUAGCUAGUUGGUGGGGUAAAGGCCUACCAAGGCGACGAUGCAUAGCCGACCUGAGAGGGUGAUCGGCCACACUGGGACUGAGACACGGCCCAGACUCCUACGGGAGGCAGCAGUAGGGAAUCUUCCGCAAUGGGCGAAAGCCUGACGGAGCAACGCCGCGUGAGUGAAGAAGGAUUUCGGUCCGUAAAGCUCUGUUGUUAGGGAAGAAUGAUUGUGUAGUAACUAUACACAGUAGAGACGGUACCUAACCAGAAAGCCACGGCUAACUACGUG
rnacentral:rRNA from 1 species